AGGGCUAGUUCUUAAACUUGACUGAGUCGGACCCCUUGACAGUGUCCAUCAGUCCGUCUGGGCUCCGGACUGGGAGUUGAAAGGAACACCCCAGGUGAGCCUGAUGCAUAGGCAGGUCUGGGGACGGUUGCCUGUGACACCACUUAAUGAGGACCUUAACGUUGCGGUGGUUUUCCUGAGAAUGGGCAGAAGGGUCAUUGGAAGGGCUUGAGAUGGCUUCCCCACUGGUGACACGUGGGUUUGGGCGUGGCUGCUGUGACCCACAGAGAUGAGAAGUGAAGGGGGCAGGGAGCUUUUCCUGGGCAUGGAUGGAAUCGGGGAGCAGGGAAGCGUCUUGGUGCCUAGCCCUGAAGGGAUGGCAUUUAAAAGGUGCUGCUCAAAUCAGUGAGGGACCUUCGUGUCCUCCGAUCCUAUUCUUAAAUAUAGGAGCUGACUGCGCACGUUGCCCAUAAUUUAAAACUUGACAUAUUCAGGAAAAUGCUACGCUGCUGAGCAGCUUUCUGCACUUCAGCUGUGAAAGAAGAGCUUUACAACGGCAGCCUUUCUAGUCUCAACAUUUGUUCACAGAUUUAGAUAAUGCUAGCUUAAAAAAAGUAAAAGCUGCUAAAAUUGUUGGGAGUGAUGUUAUAAGUCAGUGGGUAAAUGAUUCGUUUUAACAGCGGAGCAGCUUUUUAGGAACGCAUCUUCUGUUGUUCCUGUGCUGAUUGGAACAUCUUGGCAAUCUGUAGUUAUUUAGAGAAUAAAUACACCUUUGGACUUUUUUUUUUAUUGUCCCCCCCCCCACGGCAUAUGGAAGUAACCAGACUAGGGGUCGAAUCAGAGCUGCAGCUACACCACAGCCACAGCAGUGCUAGAUCCAAGCCGCAUCUGUGACCUACACCAUAGCUUGUGGCAACACCAAAUCCUUAACCCACUAAUUGAGGCCAGGAAUUGACCUCACAUCCUCAUGGACACAGUGUCAGAUUCUUAACCCACUGAGCCACAGUGGGAGUUCCUGGAUACUUUUCAAAAAUUUAUUUUUUGGCCAUGCCCAUGGCAUGUAGAAGUUCCCAGGCCAGGGAUCAAACCUGUGGUACAGCAGUGACGACAUCAGAUCCUUAACCUCUAGACUACCGGGGAGCUCCUGGACUGAUAUUUUUGUUAUUUAUUUAUUUUUUUUGCUGCACUUUUGGCCUGUGUAAGUUCCUGGGCCAGGGAUUGAAUCCAAGCUGCAGCUGCACCAACAGCAGAUCCUUUAACCCCCUGUACCUGGUCAGGGAUCGAAUCUGCACCUCUGCAGCAACCUGAGCCACUGCAUUUGGAUUCUUAACACACUGCGCCACAGUGGGAACUCCCUUUUUAGUUUUUAAAAAUAUUUUAUUAAAGUAUAGUUGAUUUACAGUGUUGUGUCCUUUUUGGCUUUAAUACAAUUAGGUUUUUUGUCUUUUGGGUGUUUUGCCUUUUUAGGACCACACCCUUGGUAUAUGGAAGUUCCCAGGCUAGGGGUCAUCAGAGCUACAGCUGCUGGCCUGCACCACAGCUCAGCGCAAGGCCAGAUCCUUAAUCCACUGAUCGAGGCCAGGGAUUGAACCUGUAUCCUCAUGGAUACUAAUUGGGGAGUUCCCGUUGUGGGUCAGUGGAUUAAGGAGCCAACUAGUAUCCAUGAGGAUGUGGGUUUGAUCCCCGGCCGUGCUCAGUGGGGUAAAGGAUCUGGUGUCACCAUGGGCAACGCAGGUUACAGGUGCGGCUGGGAUCUGGCAUUGCUGUGACUGUGGUGUAGGCAGGUUGUUACAGCUCUGAUUUGACCCCCUAGCCCAGGAACCUCCAUAUGCCACCAGUAUGGCCCUAAAAAGACAAAAAAGAAGAAAAACCAGAAGAAAAGUCUUCAUAUAAGGGAAGUAAGAAUUCAGAAAAUUUAAGUCUUUUCAGGAGUUCUCUGGUGGCUCAUCAGGCUAAAGGUCUGAUGUUGUCACUGCCGUGACUUAGGUUUGAUUCCCUGGCCUGGGGACUUCCACAUGUCAUGGGG
rnacentral:lncRNA from 1 species